ACGAACGCUGGCGGCGUGCUUAACACAUGCAAGUCGAACGGAAAGGCCCUGCUUUUGUGGGGUGCUCGAGUGGCGAACGGGUGAGUAACACGUGAGUAACCUGCCCUUGACUUUGGGAUAACUUCAGGAAACUGGGGCUAAUACCGGAUAGGAGCUCCUGCUGCAUGGUGGGGGUUGGAAAGUUUCGGCGGUUGGGGAUGGACUCGCGGCUUAUCAGCUUGUUGGUGGGGUAGUGGCUUACCAAGGCUUUGACGGGUAGCCGGCCUGAGAGGGUGACCGGCCACAUUGGGACUGAGAUACAGCCCAGACUCCUACGGGAGGCAGCAGUGGGGAAUAUUGCACAAUGGGCGGAAGCCUGAUGCAGCAACGCCGCGUGCGGGAUGACGGCCUUCGGGUUGUAAACCGCUUUCGCCUGUGACGAAGCGUGAGUGACGGUAAUGGGUAAAGAAGCACCGGCUAACUACGUG
rnacentral:rRNA from 1 species